UGCGAGCGAACAGGGAUGAGCCCAGCACCGAAUCCCGCGGCCGAUAUCGGACGCCGGGAAAUGUGGUGUUAGGGAGGAUCCGUUUAUCCCGAGGUCGUGCGGUGCGUCCAAGUCCUUCUUGAACGGGGCCACAGCCCAUAGAGGGUGCCAGGCCCGUAGCGACCGCUGCCGAUCGCGGGAGGAUCUCUCCUCAGAGUCGGGUUGCUUGAGAGUGCAGCCCUAAGUGGGUGGUAAACUCCAUCUAAGGCUAAAUAUGACCACGAGACCGAUAGCGAACAAGUACCGUGAGGGAAAGUUGAAAAGCACUUUGAAGAGAGAGUUCAAGAGUACGUGAAACCGUUCAGGGGUAAACCUGAGAAGCCCGAAAGGUCGAAUGGGGAAAUUCAUUCGCGUUUCGGCCGUCGGCGUUGGAUGGUCGCGUGACGGAUGGCGUACGCGUCGUCCGCGCCUUCCGUUCAUCGAACCGGCGUCGAACGCGUGCACUUUUCCCCUAGUAGGACGUCGCGAUCCGUUGGGUGUCGGUCUACGGCUCGCGGUGGAGCCCGUGCGGUCGUUUCGGCGUAUCGCACGGACCCGCGGUGUCCCGGCCGACCCGCUCGACGGUAUACAGAUGGCGCGGGGCCGCUACACAGUUAGCGUUCGGC
rnacentral:rRNA from 1 species